GACGAACGCUGGCGGCGUGCUUAACACAUGCAAGUCGAACGGAAAGGCCCUGCUUUUGUGGGGUGGUUGAGAGGCGAACGGGUGAGUAACACGUGAGUAACAUGCCCUUGACUUUGGGAUAACUUCAGGAAACUGGGGCUAAUACCGGAUAGGAGCUCCUGCUGCAUGGUGGGGGUUGGAAAGAGUCGGCGGUUGGGGAUGGACUCGCGGCUUAUCAGCUUGUUGGUGGGGUAGUGGCUUACCAAGGCUUUGGCGGGUAGCCGGCCUGAGAGGGUGACCGGCCACAAUGGGACUGAGAUAGGGCCCAGACUCCUACGGGAGGCAGCAGUGGAGAAUAUUGCACAAUGGGCGGAAGCCUGAUGCAGCAACGCCGCGUGCGGGAUGACGGCCUUCGGGUUGUAAACCGCUUUCUCCUGUGACGAAGCGUGAGUGACGGUAAUGGGUAAAGAAGCACCGGCUAACUACGUG
rnacentral:rRNA from 1 species